rnacentral:rRNA from 1 species
UAACGCGUGGGUAACCUGCCCUGUACACACGGAUAACAUACCGAAAGGUAUGCUAAUACGAGAUAAAAUACUUUUAUCGCAUGGUAGAAGUAUCAAAGCUUUUGCGGUACAGGAUGGACCCGCGUCUGAUUAGCUAGUUGGUAAGGUAACGGCUUACCAAGGCGACGAUCAGUAGCCGACCUGAGAGGGUGAUCGGCCACAUUGGAACUGAGACACGGUCCAAACUCCUACGGGAGGCAGCAGUGGGGAAUAUUGCACAAUGGGCGAAAGCCUGAUGCCGCAACGCCGCGUGAGCGAUGAAGGCCUUCGGGUCGUAAAGCUCUGUCCUCAAGGAAGAUAAUGACGGUACUUGAGGAGGGAGCCCCGGCUAACUACGUGCCAGCAGCCGCGGUAAUACGUAGGGGGCUAGCGUUAUCCGGAAUUACUGGGCGUAAAGGGUGCGUAGGUGGUUUCUUAAGUCAGAGGUGAAAGGCUACGGCUCAACCGUAGUAAGCCUUUGAAACUGGGGAACUUGAGUGCAGGAGAGGAGAGUGGAAUUCCUAGUGUAGCGGUGAAAUGCGUAGAUAUUAGGAGGAACACCAGUUGCGAAGGCGGCUCUCUGGACUGUAACUGACACUGAGGCACGAAAGCGUGGGGAGCAAACAGGAUUAGAUACCCUGGUAGU